ACGCUCGACACCUACGGGAGGCUGCAGUGGGGAAUAUUGCACAAUGGGGGAAACCCUGAUGCAGCGACGCCGCGUGAGUGAAGAAGUAUUUCGGUAUGUAAAGCUCUAUCGGCAGGGAAGAAGAUGACGGUACCUGAGUAAGAAGCCCCGGCUAACUACGUGCCAGUAGCAGCGGUAAUCUGAGCGGGCUGGCAAGGC
rnacentral:rRNA from 1 species